UAGUAAAAAUGCUAAUGAGGAUCAGAAUAAUCAAAAUAUCAAUGAUUAUAAUUUUAUAAUAUAUAAGUGGUUGUUAAAAGUUAGUCACUUUAGGGAGAAAAAGUCAUUUGGAGUAUACUACUUUCCUGGUAGCUGCAGCACCAUACUGCAGUUGUAGAUGUAGAGAUGUAGAUGAUCUAAUUUUCUAUUUCAACCUUUUAACUGAAACCUGAGGAGUUUCCGUAUGGUGAUAAUGUUUGCUUAAUAGGAUUCAUCUCUCUAGUUAUCAGUUUGAAGUUUUAGGUUGAGUUUACCUUUUCUAAUGUUUGUGAUUAUAAUUAAUAAUCAGCACUUGUAUAUUUAUGUAUAUGUGAUGUGAUAAAAGGGAAAGGCAUUUAUGUAAUUUACUUAUAACACCAUGUACAAGAGAAGUGCUUCCUCCCUAUACCUGAGUUAAUAGAAAAAGAAAAGAUGAAAAGAAAAAAAAAAUAGUUAAAACUAUUAAUGGAAAAAAGAGCAAAAGUUUUGAUAUGAAAGUUAGCACUUAUCAUAUAAAAUUUUGUUAAAACUUACACAAAUACAUUUGUCAUAAGAUACUUCUAAAUAAAUUAUUCAUCAACUCCUUUUCAACAAGUAUUUUGAUUUAAUUGAGGUAUUUUCAAAGUUACUAAACAAGCUUAUAAGUCAAAACUCACUUAUGAUAGUGAUCUUCUACUAUAGUAUUAAAACUAUUAAUGGAAAAACAAAUGCAGGAAAAAAAUGUGUUUACAACUUCAAGUAAUCACAAGUUUACAACAAAAUACAAAAUCACGCGUCUUGUAAUACGCCAACUUAGACACUAAGCAUUAAGCAAGCAUCUAAUUUCUUUAUCAUAUGAUUAUUAUAUAGUAUGUAAUUGUAUGCAUAAAGCCACAUGAAAAACAAGUACUAAACAAUGAACAACUUGUUUUCUAAAAUGAAGUAUCCCCUCUGUCCCACACGGUUUUCAACAAAAACAACAGAACCAUGUGAGUAUCUAUCAAGUUUACAAGAUCAAAAGAAUAGCCUGGCCUGGCCUGGCCCAGCAAAGCCCAAGUUUUAUCUUCAUUCCAAAAUCCAUUUUUCACCAUCCCAACUUUCUUCUAUGAUGAUGAUGAUGAUGAUAAGUAGCAGUAGAAUAAAAGGAUCUGCUAUUAUGAUUUACAACAAU
rnacentral:lncRNA from 1 species